rnacentral:lncRNA from 1 species
GCAACCUACACCUCAGCUCACGGCAAUGCCGGAUCCUUAACCCACUGAGCAAGGCCAGGGAUCGAACCCGCAACCUCAUGGUUCCUGGUCGGAUUCGUUAACCACUGCGCCACGACGGGAACUCCAAAGAAGCCUGAAUGUUUUUUAAAUGAACGUGGACUUGGGAGGUCUUCCAUGAAAAGCUGGUGCCUUUUCCACAGGUGUCUUUGCUGUCUUCUUUUGGGGAAACGGACUCAACUCUGCCUUCUGUCUGUGUGCCUGCGGUCCGCAACCACAGGAAGACCUGUGGCCACAGUGCAGAGGAUGCUGUGACACUCACAGUGUUUUCUUUUCUCUCAUCACAGGUGGACGGGAUGGACGAUGAAAGCCUAUGUUUCAUGGAGAGUCUGAGUGACAGCAACCAUGAUGAAAGUGAUACAGGUAAGAACAGCUCUCAGGUAGGAGCCAAUGGGAGAGGGAUCCCGGGACACUUGGGUGACGCCUGCUGCUUGGAGUGUGGGGCAGGUGAGUCUGAAACUUAAAAACAGAAAGAAAUUGAUGUAAAGAUGUUCACCGCCUACUUUAAUAAGGAGAGGGAGCAGAUAUGAGAUGCCUGAAUGUUGGCAUCUGUGCUCACCUUGUGUGGAAGGGUCUCAGUCCAUGGAGCAGAGGGAAGGUCUGGGCACCUGGAGGAAAAACCAGGGUGAUGCUCUGUACCCGUAGUCACCUCAGGGAAGCCGGAGAAACGGGAGGGCCACUCUUUCUAACUCCUUGAUUCCCCUGAUGGUGUGUUUCUACAGACUCAGUGGUGGAGAGCCUGAGCAGCCGCCAGGAUGAGGAGGCUGCAGCAACCCUCGAUGAUGUUGUGGAGGCCGGCGGGAGUGAGAAGACGGAGGAAGAGGCCCUGGCUGGGGCAAAUGAGGAGGAGGUGGGGCCGGGAACUGAGAAGGUGCAGGAGGAGGCUGCCUGCAUUGACGAGGCAGAGGAGGAGGCAGGCCCAUCCCUUGAAAAUGACGAGGAGUCCCCAGCCAGCGACCUGGUUGAGCAGGAAGACCAGCUUGCCCCCAAGGUGGACGGGAUGGACGAUGAAAGCCUAUGUUUCAUGGAGAGUCUGAGUGACAGCAACCAUGAUGAAAGUGAUACAGACUCCUCUGGGACACCUUGAAGCCUCAGCCUGGGACUGGAAGAGUCCAAAAGUUUCCAUCUUGACCAGGAUACAAGAUUGACCUCACUCUUCAUCUAUUACGAGCCAACUUUAGUAUAAGCUUAGUUCUUUAUUGUCUAGAUUUAGUAUUAAGUUCUGAUACAUGUUUACUACUUGGUAUAUAAGAUUUUGGUAGAAUGUAAGAUUGUGUAUUAAAUAAUUGUUACCUAUCCAUUUGCUUUUUUUAAAACUAGUUUUCGAUAAAAUAAACACAGGUAUAGGAAAGCCCCCUUAAGCA